AAAUAGGAGUCCUUCGUCUCCACCAUCUCUCAAGCCACAGCAGGAGAAGCUCUCAAGACUCGACCGAGGAGUUCAGAAGAUGUCUUGCUGCGGCGGCAACUGCGGGUGUACCUCUGGCUGCAAGUGCGGCAGUGGAUGCGGAGGGUGCAGUAUGUACCCUGACUUGGGCGGAGAGCGUGGCACCACCACCGCAAGCAUCAUCAACCUUGGUGCCAUGACAGGAUCAGAGAGCGUUGAAGGGUUCGAGAUGGCAGCUGGGUCCGAAGGAGGAGGCUGCAACUGCAGCCAGUGCAAGUGCAGCGGCAAGUGCAGCUGUUCUUGCUGCGGCUGUAACUGAGAGACGUGGGAAGGAGACGCCAUGCCCUGCUUCGUAAGCGUCAUUUAGAAUCAAUCAUAUUUGGGAGAGGGCAUGGUGACAUAUCUAAAUAAGAGGACAAGCAGAGCCAAAUUGGAUCAUCAUGUAACGGUUGCUCUCCUCAAGUGACAUUGAGUAUCGUAAUGAUCUUUUAUUACUA